GCCCACCCCGGCCUUAAAGGGACGGUGCCGGCGGGGCGGACGGUCCCUCCCGGCCCGUGGAGCGCGCACGGACACCCCCGGUCGCCCACCCGGUGGCCGCGGCCGCGGGGACGAGCUGCGGCGGGAGCGCGAGGGGCGGUGAGAGCUGUACCAGCCACUCCUCUCCUCUUUUGGCCGGCACCCACCAGCCCUGUCCUCAGCUAUGGUGCAGGUGUGGGCAGCCCCAGGAUGGAAGACCAACGUGUGUAGGUGGGAGAAGAACCACACACAUCAUUCCAGCUUGCCCUUAGCAGCAGCAGUACGUCGCCAUCUCUGCAGCCAGCGGCCGUGUUAUCAUUGCUGUGCACAGCGAGGAGCCCCCAGGCCCCGGCGGCAGCGCUGCGCAUCAGUUACCAUCUGCUGGAACGAUAAUGAGCCAUAACGUGAUCCCCUGCCUUUAAAAAUAAAUAGUUCGUGCUGCCUCAGAGCUGCUGAGCAGAGAAAACAAAGCACUAACCACAGAGACAUGGGAUGUGUGACCGGGAUGUGUGACCACGUUCUCCAGGAGCACAUGAGGAGUGAGGCUGGAGCAUCCUAAUUGCAUGUGCCUGUCCCGUAAGGGCAUUCCAAGGCCAGACCCUGCAGGAGCAGAGAGCACUCCGGCAGCGUAGCGGCGAGGUCUGUAGGAGUCUAUGUUGUCUUUGGAUUCAGCCUUUUUAUCUCCAGAUGAACCCAGAACACCCAAAAUCUUCAGACUGAAAAUGCUCAUCCUGUUCCUGCCACCCUGCUCAGAAGUUAUCCUGCUGCAUCGAGUAGUGCCUUAAAAUUGAUAAUGGAUACAUUUAUGUGUAGAGGCUGGGGUAUAUUUAUAACUCUGUAGUUAAGGUUUCCUUCUUCCAUCCUGUUUGCCAUUCUCCAUUGAUCUUUGCUGUUAACAAGCUAUGAAUUUUCACUUGACGUUUCUCCGGCCUGGUUUCAUCCUCCAGAAAUGCUAUUAGUUCUAAAAAAAAAAAUAAAAAUAACACACAUGAAGUAUUUUUAAUCAUCCUUCUAUAAAAGCUGUUCUCCUUUUUGUGUUUUGGAUUUUGUUUGUGAGCCUGGAAACACCCCUCACUUACAUUUGUCAUGUGCGUAAGCGUUACUUCCUCUUGCACCAAACUGCAGAGGUUCCUCAUCUGGAACUGGCUCACCCUACGUAAGACUUCAGGGAACCAAGUGAGGACAGUGUCUUUUCUGGUUGAGCUAAAAAUCACAGUCCUUACAUUGCUCCACUGCUAUUGCUUGUUGAACUUAAGACAUUCCGAAGCAGAGGCAUUCUUACCGAUCAUGCUGUCCUGGUUUGAAGUAAAAAAGAAUGAAAUUUCAGCAAUUUCACAUCUUAGCUUGGGCUCUUCUAACUCUCUGACAUUAACAGCAUAUUGUGGAGAAAACUGCUCGUUCUCAGAGGGAUAAGACCAAUGUUUGUACUUCAUGCCAAGGAAGGGUGUGCAGAGAGGCUCUUGCUUGUACUUAUUGCUAUAACAACUAAGGUCAGCCAAUUUCCUUAUCUGCCCUGUUGGAGGGGUGGAAGCAGAAAAAGCAUAAAGGAGUUCCACCUGUCGGGAGGAGGGGACAGGAGAGGUGACCCAAACCUGACCAACAGGGUUAUUCCAUCCCAUCUGCCCUAAGCUCUGUAUAAAAGCUGAGGGAUCAAAGGGUCAAUUCCUCUUCCUUCAAUAGCUGGUGUCCAAAGAGGACCCUGUCUGUUCAU